AAACUGGAGAUGGCGACCGGCGCACGGGUGAGUAACACGUAUCCAACCUGCCGAUAACUCGGGGAUAGCCUUUCGAAAGAAAGAUUAAUACCCGAUGGUAUAAUCAGACCGCAUGGUUUGAUUAUUAAAGAAUUUCGGUUAUCGAUGGGGAUGCGUUCCAUUAGGCAGUUGGUGGGGUAACGGCUCACCAAACCUUCGAUGGAUAGGGGUUCUAAGAGGAAGGUCCCCCACAUUGGAACUGAGACACGGUCCAA
rnacentral:rRNA from 1 species